rnacentral:rRNA from 1 species
CCUACGGGCGGCAGCAGUGGGGAAUAUUGCACAAUGGGGGAAACUCUGAUCCAGCGAAGCCGCGUGAGUGAAGACGUAUUUCUGUAUGUAAAGCUUUAUCUGCAGGGAAGAAAAAGAAGGUACCUGACUCAGAAGCCACGGCUAACUACGUGACAGCAGCCGUGGUAAUACGGAGGGGGCAAGCGUUAUCCGGAUUUACUGGGUGUAAAGGGAGCGUAGACGGGAGAGCAAGUCUGAUGUGAAAGCCUGCGGCCCAACUGCGGGACUGCAUUGGAUACUGCCCGUCUAGAGUACUGGAGAGGUAAGCGGAAUUCGUGGUGUAGCGGUGAAAUGCUUAGAUAUUAGGAAGAACACCAGUUGCGAAGGCAGCUUACUGAACAGUAACUGACGUUGAUGCUCGAAAGCGUGGGGAGCAAACAGGAUUAGAUACCCCUGUAGUC